GUCGAGAGCUUUCGGAGCUCGGCAUACUGCUCAGUAACACGUGGGUAACCUGCCCUAUGCUGGAGGAUAACCUCGGGAAACUGAGAACAAUACCCCAUAGUCCACUACGCCUGGAACGGUGAGUGGAUGAAAGCCCCGGCGGCAUAGGAUGGGCCUGCGGCGUAUCAGGUUGUAGGGGGUGUAAUGUACCCUCUAGCCCUCGACGCGUACGGGUUGUGAGAGCAGUAGCCCGGAGAUGGAUUCUGAGACAAGAAUCCAGGUCCUACGGGACGCAGCAGUCGCGAAACCUUGACAAUGCGGGAAACCGUGAUCAGGGGACUCCAAGUGCCAGGAGUAAGAUCCUGUGCUUUUCAUCUCUCUUCAAAGGAUUUGGAAUAAGAGGUGGGUAAGGACGGUGCCAGCCGCCGCGGUAAUACCGGCGCCUCAAGUGGUAGUCGAUUUUAUUGGGCCUAAAACGUCCGUCGCCGGUCUGGUGCAUUCGUGGGUAAAUCAACCCGCUUAACGGGUUGAAUUCUGCGAGCACGGCCAGACUAGGGACCGGGAGAGGUGUAGGGUACGCUCGGGGUAGGGGUAAAAUCCUGUCAUCCCGAGCGGACCACCUGUUGCGAAGGCGCUACACUAGAACGGAUCCGACGGUCAGGGACGAAGCCUAGGGGCACGAACCGGAUUAGAUACCCGGGUAGUCCUAGGU
rnacentral:rRNA from 1 species